rnacentral:lncRNA from 1 species
CGCAGCAUUGAGGGGUGUGUCUACUGAUCAUCAAAAGCCAAUCAACUGGUCAAAUGGGUCUUUAGCCUAUACUACCAUGCCUUCUCCCUUUCCCUGAAGCCAGACAGGUUCUAUGACAGAAUGGCUUAAGGACAGAAUAUGUUUGGGUCUCUUGAGGAAGGGGAGCUAAAUCUACUGUAAAUCAGAUGUGAGCCUGGUCCAGUAGUUCCCUUUGCCUCACUGAAU